rnacentral:lncRNA from 1 species
CCUCCAGCUCCGGUUGAGUGUUGGCCUCCAGAACAUGGUGGAGGGUGGUUUUGACCCACUGGACAUUUGCCAUCAGCCUCUUUGCCUUCUCUUCAAAGGCCUCUUUGCUCCUUUCCCUCUCCUCUUGGGAGAGGGGGGUCAGGGCAGGUCCAACCACGUCUCUGAUGACCCGCAAGUGUUCGGCAUUGACCCUCUCCAGGUGGAGCAGCAGCGCCUUGGCCCGGAGGGCCAGGUCCCUCUGCAGGAGCUCAAAGCGAACGCACAGGCUGGCAGCAGGCAGCGGGGAGAGCAGGAGGGUGCUGGAGGCCUCCAGCAGCGCUUCCAUCAGCACCUGCAUCUCCUCCCUGAGCACUAGGAUCUCAGUGUGCCCAUGGCCCUCAGGGCAGGACGAGGAGGAGAGCCGGGCAGCCUCCUGCAGCCUCAGGGAGCGCUCGGACAGCGCAGCCAGGAGGCUCUGAGGGCAGAGCUUGUUCCUCACAGCACUCCUCAGCUCCCUCAGGAGCAGCACAUCCCUGCCUAGGAACCGAUCCACAGCGCCCAGCAGGACGUGUGCGCUGACAGCCCACUGCACACAGAGCAGCUCCAGGCUGGCCCUGCCCACCACGCUGGAGCCCUCGAAGGAUGCUGCCUUCCCAAGCAGUGCUCUGGUGAUCAUCCGAGCGCGUGAAAACUUGGCUUGGACCUGCAGAAAGCUCCCCCAGCCAUCAGGGGAGAGGGGGCUUCCCUCCCUGCAGGUGAUACUCACAAUGUCUGCUGCGAACUGAACUGCUCCUGCUAAUCCCAUCAUGGUCUCCUCCAAAGCCUGUUUGCCCCUCAGGAAGUCAGCAGACAAGAUAAAGACAAACACUUGCUGAGACAGACUGUACCAGGAGCCUGCCACGGCUGCCAGGCACUCCUUGGUGUGGCAGAUCCUUUCUGAGAGCGUGAGGGCCACGUGGAAAAGCUCACUUGGGCAAGGACGCUGCUCUGGGGCCGUGUCCCUGGCCAGGCUGAUCACACGUGGUGUCAGAAGCUCAAUCUCCUGGUACUGCCCCAGUGUCUCCCUGUGCGGACACUCAGCAAGGGACAGCGCUUCCUUUGCUGCAUCCACGCAGCCUCUGGAGAGCUCGAGCAAGGCAGAGCAAGCAGCACUGAGCAAUGGCGUGUCAUGGGCUCCUCUUGCUGCCAGCAGAGCUGUGAUCACAGGGUGUGCGCCUCCUUUCC